rnacentral:lncRNA from 1 species
UGUUAUUGAAAAUGCUGCCAUCGUGAAAACCGAAAGCGGACGCCACGAAAAAAAGAACACUAAGUUAUGUUCGCUCACAAAACAGAGCACGCAGAAAAUGAAAAAUCCUAGAGCUCUUCAUAACUUACUUAUUCUUAAAUUCAGGUAUAUAAAAUUCAUUAUUGUCAUUUACCCAAUAAUAGUAUUAGCUAAGAGUUGACUAUCUAAUUCCUUUCUGACUCUACAUCAAUAAUAAAUUUCAUAUUUAGGUAUAGUACUUAAAAAUUGAUUAAAAUGUAUUGUUGUUGUAGAAUCGAUUGUUUGACUGGUGUCAAUUGGACUGGGGCCAACGUUUUGGUUCGAGAAG